GAGUCGUUCCAAUCACCCAAAGAGUGCGGAGGAAGUGCCAUUUCAGCAGAAGUUCGGGCGCAAGUCAAGAGAUUUCCAGAGCAGGCUGUCGAGUUAUGCCCGGGAAGGUUUCGAAUGGUUUGUUCUGCAGCUGACGAAGCCGAAGCACAGCGGAGGGCGGAGCCUCUGCUGGCUGUCACAUCGCAUCGCUAUCUAACAAUCACACGCCAAGCCACGUAUGGAACGAAAGUCUGACCCGCUCAGCCUUUAGGCCUGAACUUUUGGUUUCCUCUGACUCCUGGGUGAGCAUGAACUAUUAUUAGUGUGUGUAAACACACUCGAAUGGGAAGAAAAUGGGACUUUCUAUGAAAGUAUUUAAUUUUACUGUCACACGUUCAAAUUUGUUUUGGCUUCAUAGGUUUAAUCAACAGCUGUUUGAGGGCGAUCGUUUAAUGUUAUUCACCCUGGAUAUGAUUUAGAAAAGCUGAGAAAUUGACUAAACAUGUGUCACAGUGACCAUGAGAAACCAUUCAAUUAAACGUUACAGGCUGACACGACCUUUACCCUAUUGCCAGAGUGCGGGACAUCCAUAUUAUCCACAGGUCACAGUCUUCAUGAUUGCGCCACACGCGUCCUUGUCUGAUCAAUAUUUCUUGUAUUCCAGUGACUGAAUGACAAAAUAAAGCAGGGUGAAGAAGAAAGCGUCUGGAGCAGAACAAGGCAGAGGGGUUGUCGUCCUUCACACUAUUGAGUGGACGUGUAGGCAUCAACCUGCACCAUUUUAAACUCAGAGACUGUCAAAACAUAGUUAAAUAAAACCUGUGUGCAGACAGUGUCAAUAUAGCACAGCCAUUUACGGGAGUGGGGACAGAGGUAGCUUGCAUGGAGGUAGACAAAAAAAAACAAAGUUCCCUUCAUAAAACAUGACAGGCAAGCGUCAUUAAAUUGAGAAGUUGCAGAAACCCUGCUGUGUCGUCGUGCUGUGGAGGUGCAGGACAGAAAGAGACAUAACGUCGUCUGCAAAUCUGCCUCACGCCAAAUUAUUUAUACUCUCAAAGUAGUAAAACAAAUCAAAGAGGAAUAUUUUGAAGCAUCUUUAAGCUCAAGGAAUAUAUGGCAUGUAGUGUGUUUAGAUUAUGUGCAUUAAUCAUUAAUACACCGUUUUUACAAUGGCUGCCACAAGGAGUUUACAGUCAGAUCUUUGUGCAUUUUAGGAUUUAGAAACUGUAUGAAAAUUGUUAACAGGGCCAGAGGUGUCAGACGGUUUGUGGAUUUUUUAAAGGCAGCCUCUGUAUGUCAGGGGACAAGGGGAAGACUUUUUCUCACCCCAGAAUAAGCUCUGUUUGUGAGAAUACGGCGUCAGUCCAUUAGAACAAAGGUUGUUGUUAUUUGGUGGCUGAAUUCUUUUGGCUAAUUAUGUUAUUGCUGUCGUUACUACGGGCAGAUAUUUAAUUGGAGUUCUGUUCAUUUUAGCAGGAGACAAAUUAAAUAUUAAUAUCAAAUAUUAAUAUUACUAUUACUUGUACGUAACACAACAAUUUAGUAAAUCUUUGUGUAUUUUUAUUUUAGAAUAAAAGGUAUGAUUUUGCCCUCC